rnacentral:rRNA from 1 species
UACGUAGGGGGCAAGCGUUGUCCGGAAUCAUUGGGCGUAAAGAGCUUGUAGGCGGCCAGAUAAGUCCGCUGUGAAAUCUCGAGGCUCAACUUCGAGCUGUCGGUGGAAACUGUCUGGCUAGAGUCCGGAAGAGGAGAAUGGAAUUCCUGGUGUAGCGGUGGAAUGCGCAGAUAUCAGGAGGAACACCGGUGGCGAAGGCGGGUCUCUGGGCAGUAACUGACGCUGAGGAGCGAAAGCGUGGGGAGCGAACAGG